GAACCCAUAGCUCAGCUGGAUAGAGCGUCGCCCUCCGAAGGCGAAGGUCUCAGGUUCGAAUCCUGAUGGGUGCGCCA
rnacentral:tRNA from 1 species